rnacentral:rRNA from 1 species
UGGAUAAUGGGCGCAAGCCUGAUCCAGCCAUGCCGCGUGUGUGAAGAAGGCCCUCGGGUUGUAAAGCACUUUCAGUGGGGAAGAAAGCCUUCCGGUUAAUACCCGGGAGGAGGGACAUCACCCACAGAAGAAGCACCGGCUAACUCCGUGCCAGCAGCCGCGGUAAUACGGAGGGUGCGAGCGUUAAUCGGAAUUACUGGGCGUAAAGCGCGCGUAGGCGGCUUGAUAAGCCGGUUGUGAAAGCCCCGGGCUCAACCUGGGAACGGCAUCCGGAACUGUCAGGCUAGAGUGCAGGAGAGGAAGGUAUAAUUCCCGGUGUAGCGGUGAAAUGCGUAGAGAUCGGGAGGAAUACCAGUGGCGAAGGCGGUCUUCUGGACUGACACUGACGCUGAGGUGCGAAAGCGUGUGUAGCAAACAGGAUUAGAUACCCUGGUAGUCCACGCCGUAAACGAUGUCGACUAGACGUUGGGUCCUUCGCGNGACUUUGUGGCCACUUAACGCGAUAAGUCGACCGCCUGGGGAGUACGGGCGCAAGGUUAAAACUCA